rnacentral:rRNA from 1 species
CAGUAGCCACGGUAAUACGAAGGGGGCUAGCGCUGUUCGGAUUUACUGGGCGUAAAGCGCACGUAGGCGGAUCCUUAAGUCAGAGGUGAAAUCCCAAGGCUCAACCUUGGAACUGCCUUUGAUACUGGGGAUCUCGAGUUCGGGAGAGGUGAGUGGAACUGCGAGUGUAGAGGUGAAAUUCGUAGAUAUUCGCAAGAACACCAGUGGCGAAGGCGGCUCACUGGCCCGAUACUGACGCUGAGGUGCGAAAGCGUGGGGAGCAAACAGGAUUAGAUACCCCUGUAGUCCCUGUCUCUUAUAC